rnacentral:rRNA from 1 species
AUUGAACGCUGGCGGCAGGCCUAACACAUGCAAGUCGAGCGAGCGGCGGACGGGUGAGUAAUGUCUGGGCACUGCCCGAUAGAGGGGGAUAACUACUGGAAACGGUGGCUAAUACCGCAUACUCUCGGAUAACCCAUAUGGGAUUAGCUAGUAGGUGGGGGAAAGGCUCACCUGGGCGAAGAUCUCUAGCGGGUCUGAGAGGAUGAUCAGCCACACUGGGACUGAGAAACGGCCCAGACUCCGACGGAGGCAGCAGUGGGGAAUAUUGCACAAUGGGGGAAAGCCUGAUGCAGAAAUGCCGGGGGUAUGAAGAAGGCCUUAGGGUUGAAAAGUCCUUUCAGCGGGGAGGCGUUACCCGCAGAGAAAGCAACGGCUAACUACGUGCCAGCAGCCGCGGUAAUAC